rnacentral:rRNA from 1 species
CUCGACUCCUACGGGAGGCAGCAGUGGGGAAUAUUGGACAAUGGGGGCAACCCUGAUCCAGCCAUGCCGCGUGAGUGAUGAAGGCCCUAGGGUUGUAAAGCUCUUUUGUGCGGGAAGAUAAUGACGGUACCGCAAGAAUAAGCCCCGGCUAACUUCGUGCCAGCAGCCGCGGUAAUACGAAGGGGGCUAGCGUUGCUCGGAAUCACUGGGCGUAAAGGGUGCGUAGGCGGACUUUUAAGUCAGGGGUGAAAUCCUGGAGCUCAACUCCAGAACUGCCUUUGAUACUGGAAGUCUUGAGUUCGGGAGAGGUGAGUGGAACUGCGAGUGUAGAGGUGAAAUUCGUAGAUAUUCGCAAGAACACCAGUGGCGAAGGCGGCUCACUGGCCCGAUACUGACGCUGAGGCACGAAAGCGUGGGGAGCAAACAGGAUUAGAUACCCUGGUAG